rnacentral:rRNA from 1 species
UACGAAGGGGGGCUAGCGUUGCUCGGAAUUACUGGGCGUAAAGCGCGCGUAGGCGGCUUUGCAAGUCGGGUGUGAAAUCCCCGGGCUCAACCCGGGAACUGCGUCCGAUACUGGCAGGCUUGAAUCCGGGAGAGGGAUGCGGAAUUCCAGGUGUAGCGGUGAAAUGCGUAGAUAUCUGGAGGAACACCGGUGGCGAAGGCGGCAUCCUGGACCGGCAUUGACGCUGAGGCGCGAAAGCCAGGGGAGCAAACGGG